rnacentral:rRNA from 1 species
AUUGAACGCUAGCGGGAUGCCUUACACAUGCAAGUCGAACGAGUGGCGGACGGGUGAGUAAUAUCUCGGAAAGUGCCUAGUGGCGGGGGAUAACUACUCGAAAGAGUGGCUAAUACCGCAUACCAUCGGAGCGGCCGAUAUCGGAUUAGCUUGUUGGUGGGGUAAAGGCCCACCAAGGCAACGAUCCGUAGCUGGUUUGAGAGGACGACCAGCCACACUGGAACUGAGACACGGCCCAGACUCCUACGGGAGGCAGCAGUGGGGAAUUUUGUACAAUGGGGGAAACCCUGAUCCAGCCAUGCCGCGUGUAUGAGAAGGCCUUCGGGUUGUAAAGUACUUUUAGCGGGGAGGCGUUAUCAGCAGAAUAAGCACCGGCUAACUCCGUGCCAGCAGCCGCGGUAAUUC